ACAGCAGUCGCCGCGGUAAAACGUAUGUCACAAGCGUUAUCCGGAUUUAUUGGGCGUAAAGCGCGUCUAGGUGGUUAUGUAAGUCUGAUGUGAAAAUGCAGGGCUCAACUCUGUAUUGCGUUGGAAACUGUGUAACUAGAGUACUGGAGAGGUAAGCGGAACUACAAGUGUAGAGGUGAAAUUCGUAGAUAUUUGUAGGAAUGCCGAUGGGGAAGCCAGCUUACUGGACAGAUACUGACGCUAAAGCGCGAAAGCGUGGGUAGCAAACAGGAUUAGAUACCCGGGUAGUCCCUGUCUCUUAUACA
rnacentral:rRNA from 1 species